AGCGAACGCUAGCGGCGGGCCUAACACAUGCAAGUCGAGCGCAUACCUUCGGGUAUGAGCGGCGGACGGGUGAGUAACACGUAGGUAAUCUACCCUUUGGUGGGGAAUAACCCGGGGAAACUCGGGCUAAUGCCGCACGAGGUCUACGGAUCAAAGCCUUCGGGCGCCAGAGGAUGAGCCUGCGUUGCAUUACCUAGUUGGCGGGGUAACGGCCCACCAAGGGGACGAUGCAUAGCUGGUCUGAGAGGAUGAUCAGACCACACUGGGACUGAGACACGGCCCAGACUCCUACGGGAGGCAGCAGUGGGGAAUAUUGCGCAAUGGGGGGAAACCCUGACGCAGCUACGCCGCGUGGGUGAUGAAGGCCUUCGGGUUGUAAGCCCUGUCGGGAGGGACGAAUACUGACGGUACCUCCCAACGAAAGACGACCGGCGUAACUCCGUGCCAGCAGCCGC
rnacentral:rRNA from 1 species